rnacentral:rRNA from 1 species
GACAGAGGUGGCAAGCGUUGUUCGGAAUUACUGGGCUUAAAGGGCGCGUAGGUGGUGGCAUAAGUCCGAGGUGGAAGACUACAGCUUAACUGUAGAAUUGCCUUGGAAACUGUAUCACUUGAGUCAGCGAGGGGAUGGCGGAAUUCCAGGUGUAGCGGUGAAAUGCGUAGAUAUCUGGAGGAAGGCCGGUGGCGAAGGCGGCCAUCUGGCGCUGAACUGACACUGAGGCGCGAAAGCGUGGGGAGCAAACAGGAUUAGAUACCCUGGUAGUCCACGCCCUAAACGGUGGGUACUAGGUGUAGGGCUCGCAAGGGUUCUGUGCCGUAGGGAAACCAUUAAGUACCCCGCCUGGGGAGUACGGCCGCAAGGUUGAAACUUAAAUGAAUUGACGG